GCGUAAAGCGCACGCAGGCGGUCUGUCAAGUCGGAUGUGAAAUCCCCGGCCUCAACCUGGGAACUGCAUUCGAAACUGGCAGGCUAGAGUCCUCGUAGAGGGGGGUAGAAUUCCAGGUGUAGCGGUGAAAUGCGUAGAGAUCUGGAGGAAUACCGGUGGCGAAGGCGGCCCCCUGGACAAAGACUGACGCUCAGGUGCGAAAGCGUGGGGAGCAAACAGGAUUAGAUACCCUGGUAGUCCACGCCGUAAACGAUGUCGAUUUGGAGGUUGUGCCCUUGAGGCGUGGCUUCCGGAGCUAACGCGUUAAAUCGACCGCCUGGGGAGUACGGCCGCAAGGUUAAAACUCAAAUGAAUUGACGGGGGCCCGCACAAGCGGUGGAGCAUGUGGUUUAAUUCGAUGCUACGCGAAGAACCUUACCUGGUCUUGACAUCCAGAGAGCUUUCCAGAGAUGGAUUGGUGCCUUCGGGAACUGUGAGACAGGUGCUGCAUGGCUGUCGUCAGCUCGUGUUGUGAAAUGUUGGGUUAAGUCCCGCAACGAGCGCAACCCUUAUCCUUUGUUGCCAGCGGUUAGGCCGGGAACUCAAAGGAGACUGCCAGUGAU
rnacentral:rRNA from 1 species